CCUACGGGGUGCUGCAGUGAGGAAUAUUGGUCAAUGGGCGUAAGCCUGAACCAGCCAAGUCGCGUGAGGGAUGAAGGUUCUAUGGAUCGUAAACCUCUUUUAUAAGGGAAUAAAGUGCGGGACGUGUCCCGUUUUGUAUGUACCUUAUGAAUAAGGAUCGGCUAACUCCGUGCCAGCAGCCGCGGUAAUACGGAGGAUCCGAGCGUUAUCCGGAUUUAUUGGGUUUAAAGGGUGCGUAGGCGGCCUUUUAAGUCAGCGGGGAAAGUCUGUGGCUAAACCAUAGAAUUGCCGUUGAAACUGGGAGGCUUGAGUAUGGUUGAGGCAGGCGGAAUGCGUGGUGUAGCGGUGAAAUGCUUAGAUAUCACGCAGAACCCCGAUGGCGAAGGCAGCCUGCCAAGCCAUGACUGACGCUGAUGCACGAAAGCGUGGGGAUCAAACAGGAUUAGAACCCUGGUAGUC
rnacentral:rRNA from 1 species